rnacentral:ncRNA from 1 species
AGACUUAGUCCUAACCUUACCAUUAACUCUUGCUAAACAUAUACAUGCAAGUAUCCGCGCUCCAGUGUAAAUGCCCUCAAUUCCUACCCUGCAGGUAAAAGGAGCUGGCAUCAGGCACGCCCACCGCAGCCUAAGACGCCUUGCUCAGCCACACCCCCACGGGUACUCAGCAGUAAUUAACAUUAAGCAAUAAGUGAAAACUUGACUUAGUUAUAGCAACACCUAUCAAGGGUUGGUAAAUCUUGUGCCAGCCACCGCGGUCACACAAGAAACCCAAGUUAACCGUAUACGGCGUAAAGAGUGGACCCAUGAUAUCAUAACAAUUAAGGCCAAAAUGUAACUGAGCUGUCAUAAGCUUAAGACACAUUUAAAACCACCCUAAAGAUGGCCUUAACACUUACGGCCAAUUAAAUUCCACGAAAGCCAUGGCACAAACUGGGAUUAGAUACCCCACUAUGCUUGGCCCUAAAUCUUGAUGCUCACCCUACCAAAGCAUCCGCCUGAGAACUACGAGCACAAACGCUUAAAACUCUAAGGACUUGGCGGUGCCCCAAACCCACCUAGAGGAGCCUGUUCUAUAAUCGACAACCCACGAUACACCCAACCACUUCUUGCCAAAACAGCCUACAUACCGCCGUCGCCAGCCCACCUCCCCUGAGAGCAUAACAGUGAGCAUAAUUGCCCUAACCCCGCUAACAAGACAGGUCAAGGUAUAGCCUAUGAAGUGGAAGAAAUGGGCUACAUUUUCUAAUCUAGAAAACCUUCAUACCCUAACGAAAGGGAGCAUGAAACAACUCCCAGAAGGCGGAUUUAGCAGUAAAGCGGGAUAAUAAAGCCCCCUUUAAACUGGCUCUGAGGCACGUACAUACCGCCCGUCACCCUCCUCAAAAGCUUCCUUCUUUCAAUAAAUAAUACACCCACCCGCCAAAGACGAGGUAAGUCGUAACAAGGUAAGUGUACCGGAAGGU